UUCUCAGCUGAACACUGUCAUCUGCCAGAGCUUCAGGCAAGAACCCAGAACAGAUGAAACCCCAGACAUGACAAAAUAAGCCAAGGAAUACCAGGCCAAGAUGUGAAAGGCCAGAUGAGAACAAGCAGCAUACAUGAUUCUGUUGCCAACAGAUCUCCCCUAACAGUGUCGUCCACCAAAUUUCCACAGUGAAUGUCAGGAAAAAAUGGCAAUUGAGAUGAAGAAACUGAGGCAGACAGAGGUGAAGAAACUUGCACAAGGUCAAAGAACAAUCUUUCAGAAAAUGGCAUUGUGUACUGAGGACAAUGAGAGAUAGGAGGUUAUGUUUCCUAUCAAAGCCCUACAUGUAGAAAGGUGAGCUCUCAGAGAUGAUCUGAAUUACCUUUGCUUCUACCGUUUCUGCCUAUUGCUACCUGAUCUGUCACAUCCAUGACUGAGAAAUAUGGUCAACUGGAGAGGCUGAAGAAAUCUGAAAAAAGGCUGAAAGCUGAAACAACUGACGGAAUUCUA
rnacentral:lncRNA from 1 species